rnacentral:rRNA from 1 species
GGAAUCUUCCACAAUGGGCGCAAGCCUGAUGGAGCAACGCCGCGUGAGUGAAGAAGGUCUUCGGAUCGUAAAACUCUGUUGUUAGAGAAGAACGUGUGUGAGAGUGGAAAGUUCACACAGUGACGGUAACUUACCAGAAAGGGACGGCUAACUACGUGCCAG